GAUGAAGAACGUAGCGAAAUGCGAUCAGUAAUGUGAAUUGCAGAAUUCAGUGAAUCAUCGAAUCUUUGAACGCACCUUGCGCUCCUUGGUAUUCCUUGGAGCAUGCCUGUUUGAGUAUCAUGAGCAAAUCUCAAAGUCGAUCCUUUUGUUAAUUCAAUUGGUUUGCUUUGGACUUGGAGGCCUUGCAGAUUUCACCGUCUGCUCCUCUUAAAUGCAUUAGCUGGAUCUCAGUAUUAUGCUUGGUUCCACUCGGCGUGAUAAGUAUCACUCGCUGAGGACACUGUAAAAGGUGGCCAGGAAAAUACUGAUCGAACCGCUUCUAACGGUCUAUUAACUUAGACAAUUACCCUUAAGUUUGAUCUCAAAUCAGGUAGGACUACCCGCUGAACUUAAGCAUAUCAAUAAGCGGAGGA
rnacentral:misc_RNA from 1 species